rnacentral:rRNA from 1 species
AGAAUCAACGCUGGCGGCGUGCCUAACACAUGCAAGUCGAACGAGAAAGUGGAGCAAUCCAUGAGUAAAGUGGCGACCGGGUGAGUAACACGUGACUAACCUACCCUAGAGUGGGGGAUAACCUCGGGAAACCGGGGCUAAUACCGCAUAACAUCGCAAGGGGAAGAUCCUUGCGAUCAAAGGAGCAAUUCGCUCAAGGAGGGGGUCGCGGCUGAUUAGCUAGUUGGUGAGGUAACGGCCCACCAAGGCUUAGAUCAGUAGCCGGCCUGAGAGGGCGCACGGCCACACUGGAACUGAAACACGGUCCAGACUCCUACGGGAGGCAGCAGUGGGGAAUUUUGCGCAAUGGGGGAAACCCUGACGCAGCAACGCCGCGUGGAGGAUGAAGUCCCUUGGGAUGUAAACUCCUUUCGAUCGGGACGAUUAUGACGGUACCGGAAGAAGAAGCACCGGCUAACUCUGUGCCAGCAGCCGC